ACGCGCUCCUCAGCACUGUCACCCACCUCCAGGGCGUGCAGGUGGUGGCCAGGUAAGAACUCCUUCCUCGAGGUGCCAGGGGGUCCCCAGUUCUUGGAUAAAGUGCUGCCACAGUACCACAGCCUGUGGCCCCUGCGGCAUUGGUAAGAGGGCUGCACAGCCACAGUUGUGUCCCCCUGGCUCGGGGCUCAUGGUGCUUUCUUAUCCCUGCCAUGGCCAUGAAGGAAGUGCCCGGUGCUCUGCGUGACCCCAUCUUCCACCAGCUGGUUGAGCUGCUCAGCAACAGCUUCUACUCCUGGGAGAUGGUGGCCAUAGUCUUCCUCACUGAGAUGCUGGAGUGCGUGGACGUCACCACAGAGCUGCACCACAUCUUGAAAUUCUUCACCACCUAUCUGCAGAGCCAGAGCGUGGGCAUGCAGCAGCUGGUGCUCAGGGACAUCCUGCAGCUCAGCAAGAGGCAGAACACGGUGAGCAGGGGCGGCCGGGAAUGCCACAGGUGCUGCAGGUUGGUCUGGGCCUACCUGCCCCAGCGCUGUAGCAGGACCACCUACAGCUCAGCACCUCUCCAGGCAGUGAGGAGGUGGUGCUCUCUGCCUAUCCCAUCACUGCCUGCUAUCCUCAGGGCUGGCACUGGAGCUGUUUUGACCUCACUGUGCUUGCAUCUGAACCUAGAGGAAGGCGUGUUUUUCCCACAGGCAAGGCCAAUGAUCAUCUUCCUGCUGUGCAUCAUGGAGCAGCUGCAGGACGCAGACAGCAAUAGCCCUACCAAUACUCAGCACCUUGCUGCAGCUCCUGGAUGGGGCUAAGAUCAGCCUCAUGGCUCUGGAGCUGUCCGGCAAGCUCCCAGUACUCUUUAAUGACGUAAGGAUGGAAGGGAGCCCAGAACACAAAGGAUGUGGGUUUGAGCCCAGUGUGCCCAUUCCUGCUGCCCUGUGACAGUGCACCAGGGGACUUCCUGGCCGGUCUUCAGUUCCAGGUGCUGCGUGCCCCUGGGCAGACUUUCUGCAAGGCAGAGCUUGCAUGCUUUAGAGCAGUUCUGGGGCCAUCCUCAGGAUAUCGACUCUUUGAAAGGGUAGAUAACAGGACAAGGGGAAAUGGUUUUAAGUUGAGAGAAGGAAGAUUUAGGUUGAAUGUCAGGGGGAAGUUCUUUGCAGAGAGAGAGGUGAGGUGCUGGAACAGGCUGCCCAGAGAGGUUGUGGAUACCCCGUCGCUGGAGGUGUUCAAGACCAGACUGGAUGGAGCCCUGGGCAGCCUGGUCUACUAUUAGAUGUGGAAGUUGGUGGCUCUGCAUGUGGCAAGGGGGUUGGAGAUUCAUGAUCCUUGAGGUCCUUCCAACCUUGGCCAUUCUGUCAUUUUGUGAUCUGCCUGCAGCCUCCCAGCUCAGAGAUUCUGCCCCCACUUCAUUGAUGGUGAUGGCCCUGCUUGCCAUGGAGGUGGAGCUGCUGACACUGACAUCCUUCCUUUCUUCCUUCCUCCUCUGCAGGCGUCCAGCACUGUGCGGCA
rnacentral:lncRNA from 1 species